CGGAGGGUGCAAGCGUUAUCCGGAUUUAUUGGGUUUAAAGGGUCCGUAGGCGGAUCUGUAAGUCAGUGGUGAAAUCUCACAGCUUAACUGUGAAACUGCCAUUGAUACUGCAGGUCUUGAGUGUUGUUGAAGUAGCUGGAAUAAGUAGUGUAGCGGUGAAAUGCAUAGAUAUUACUUAGAACACCAAUUGCGAAGGCAGGUUACUAAGCAACAACUGACGCUGAUGGACGAAAGCGUGGGGAGCGAACAGGAUU
rnacentral:rRNA from 1 species